GGCCCUUCGGGGUACACGAGCGGCGGACGGCUGAGUAACGCGUGGGAACGUACCCCAAAGUGAGGGAUAACUGCUCGAAAGAGUAGCUAAUACCGCAUGUGGUCUUCGGAUUAAAGCUUCGGCGCUUUGGGAACGGCCUGCGUAUGAUUAGUUUGUUGGUGAGGUAACGGCUCACCAAGACUACGAUCAUUAGCUGGUCUGAGAGGAUGAUCAGCCAGACUGGGACUGAGAACGGCCCAGACUCCUACGGGAGGCAGCAGUAGGGAAUUUUCCACAAUGGACGAAAGUCUGAUGGAGCAACGCCGCGUGCAGGAUGAGUGCCUUCGGGUUGUAAACUGCUUUUAUAUGUGACGAUUAUGACGGUAGCAUAUGAAUAAGGAUCGGCUAAUUCCGUGCCAGCAGCCGCGGUCAUACGGAAGAUCCAAGCGUUAUCCGGAAUUACUGGGCGUAAAGAGUUGCGUAGGUGGCAUAGUAAGUAGAUAGUGAAAUCCUGGGGCUCAACCCUUUAAACAUUAUCUAAACUGCUAAGCUAGAGGGCGAGAGAGGUUACUAGAAUUCCUUGUGUAGGAGUGAAAUCCGUAGAUAUAAGGAGGAAUACCGAUGGCGUAGGCAGGUAACUGGCUCGUCCCUGACACUAAGGCACGAAAGCGUGGGGAGCGACCGGGAUUAGAUACCCCGUUAGUCCACGCCGUAAACGAUGGAUGCUAGCUGUUAUGCGUAUCGACCCGCGUAGUAGCGAAGCUAACGCGUUAAGCAUCCCGCCUGUGGAGUACGAGCGCAAGCUUAAAACAUAAA
rnacentral:rRNA from 1 species